rnacentral:piRNA from 1 species
UGAAAAUGGAUUCAUAUCUCU